AGUGAACGCUGGCGGUAUGCCUAACACAUGCAAGUCGAACGGCAGCACAGUAAGAGCUUGCUCUUACGUGUGUCGAGUGGCGGACCGUGGCGUAAGACAUCGGAUUCUACUUUGUCGUGGGUGAUAACGUAGGGAAACUUACGCUAAUACCACAUACGACCUACGUGUGAAAGCAGGCGAUCUUCUGACCUUUCGCUAGUGAAUAAGCCGAUGUCGGAUGAGCUAGUUGGCGGGGUAAAGGCGCAACAAGGCGACGAUCCGUAUCUGGUAUGAGAGCAUGAUCAGAUACCCUGGCAGUGAGAAACGGUACAGACUCCUAGGGGGGGACGCAGUGGGGAAUCUUGGACAAUGGGGGAAAGCCUGAUACAGCAAUACGGCCUGGGUGCAGAAGGACUUCGGGUUGUAAAGUGAUUUUGUCGGGAAAGAAAAGAAGCAGGUUAAUCCCGCGCUGUUAUGACGGUACCCAAAGAAUAAGCACCGGCUAACUUCGUG
rnacentral:rRNA from 1 species